AUUGAACGCUGGCGGCAUGCCUUACACAUGCAAGUCGAACGGUAACAGGUCUUCGGAUGCUGACGAGUGGCGAACGGGUGAGUAAUACAUCGGAACGUGCCUAGUAGUGGGGGAUAACUACUCGAAAGAGUGGCUAAUACCGCAUGAGAUCUACGGAUGAAAGCAGGGGAUCGCAAGACCUUGUGCUACUAGAGCGGCCGAUGGCAGAUUAGGUAGUUGGGUGGAUAAAAGCUUACCAAGCCGACGAUCUGUAGCUGGUCUGAGAGGACGAUCAGCCACGCUGGGAAUGAGACACGGCCCAGACUCCUACGGGAGGCAGCAGUGGGGAAUUUUGGACAAUGGGCGCAAGCCUGAUCCAGCAAUGCCGCGUGCAGGAUGAAGGCCUUCGGGUUGUAAACUGCUUUUGUACGGAACGAAAAGCCCUGGGUUAAUACCCUGGGGUCAUGACGGUACCGUAAGAAUAAGCACCGGCUAACUACGUGCCAGCCGCCGCCGUAA
rnacentral:rRNA from 1 species